rnacentral:rRNA from 1 species
CCUACGGGAGGCAGCAGUGGGGAAUUUUGGACAAUGGGCGCAAGCCUGAUCCAGCCAUGCCGCGUGCGGGAAGAAGGCCUUCGGGUUGUAAACCGCUUUUGUCAGGGAAGAAAAGGUUCUGGUUAAUACCUGGGACUCAUGACGGUACCUGAAGAAUAAGCACCGGCUAACUACGUGCCAGCAGCCGCGGUAAUACGUAGGGUGCAAGCGUUAAUCGGAAUUACUGGGCGUAAAGCGUGCGCAGGCGGUUAUGCAAGACAGAGGUGAAAUCCCCGGGCUCAACCUGGGAACUGCCUUUGUGACUGCAUAGCUAGAGUACGGUAGAGGGGGAUGGAAUUCCGCGUGUAGCAGUGAAAUGCGUAGAUAUGCGGAGGAACACCGAUGGCGAAGGCAAUCCCCUGGACCUGUACUGACGCUCAUGCACGAAAGCGUGGGGAGCAAACAGGAUUAGAUACCCUGGUAGUCCACGCCCUAAACGAUGUCAACUGGUUGUUGGGAGGGUUUCUUCUUCAGUACGUAAGUGUACGUACGUGAGUUAGUACGCCUCGGGAGGUACGGCCGGCCGAAGGUUAGGUAAACGUACCGAAAUAGAAGUUAGUAGGACCGUGAGAGUAGACGACGACGACGACGAGGAGGAGGAGG